UACGUAGGGUGCAAGCGUUAUCCGGAAUUAUUGGGCGUAAAGAGCUCGUAGGCGGUUUGUCGCGUCUGCUGUGAAAACCGGAGGCUCAACCUCCGGCCUGCAGUGGGUACGGGCAAACUAGAGUGCGGUAGGGGAGAUUGGAAUUCCUGGUGUAGCGGUGGAAUGCGCAGAUAUCGGGAGGAACACCGAUGGCGAAGGCAGCACUCUGGGCAGGUACUGACGCUGAGGAGCGAAAGCGUGGGGAGCGAACAGG
rnacentral:rRNA from 1 species